rnacentral:rRNA from 1 species
GGUAGUCCACGCCGUAAACGAUGGGCACUAGGUGUGGGGGACAUUCCACGUUUUCCGCGCCGUAGCUAACGCAUUAAGUGCCCCGCCUGGGGAGUACGGCCGCAAGGCUAAAACUCAAAGGAAUUGACGGGGGCCCGCACAAGCGGCGGAGCAUGCGGAUUAAUUCGAUGCAACGCGAAGAACCUUACCAAGGCUUGACAUGAACCGGACCGCUGCAGAAAUGUGGUUUCCCCUUUGGGGCUGGUUUACAGGUGGUGCAUGGUUGUCGUCAGCUCGUGUCGUGAGAUGUUGGGUUAAGUCCCGCAACGAGCGCAACCCUCGUUCUAUGUUGCCAGCACGUGAUGGUGGGGACUCAUAGGAGACUGCCGGGGUCAACUCGGAGGAAGGUGGGGACGACGUCAAAUCAUCAUGCCCCUUAUGUCUUGGGCUUCACGCAUGCUACAAUGGCCGGUACAAAGGGUUGCGAUACUGUGAGGUGGAGCUAAUCCCAAAAAGCCGGUCUCAGUUCGGAUUGGGGUCUGCAACUCGACCCCAUGAAGUCGGAGUCGCUAGUAAUCGCAGAUCAGCAACGCUGCGGUGAAUACGUUCCCGGGCCUUGUACACACCGCCCGUCAAGUCACGAAAGUUGGUAACACCCGAAGCCGGUGGCCUAACCCCUUGUGGGAGGGAGCUGUCGAAGGUGGGACUGGCGAUUGGGACUAAGUCGUAACAAGGUAACC